CAGAGAGAGUCACAACCACCCCAAGGACAGGUCCAGCUGUUGGAUUUAGUAGAGAUAUACUUACAUUCCACAUCAAGAUGACAACCAUCUGCAAGAAACAAUGAAGCCCUCGGCAGUGUCUGAGACACAGAAUCUCAGGCUAAUCGAGCUGAGCAGUAUUCCUUUGCGUGUAUGCACCAUGUCUUCUUCAUUCACUCGUCCACCCAUGGGCACUCAAGCUGUUUUCAUAUUUUGACUGCUGGUCUGUCACAGUCUGCUGUGGGCUUCCUGGGGAUGAGGCCACUGGGAUCCAAGAGAAAGCAAGUGGGGGCUCCCUGUACCCUGCAGUUUACCAUUCAGAAAUCCCAGAGCAUCACUUGCAAUGCAGUGUUUGGGUCAAGGCAAGUUCCAAGGUCAGCCAAGGGCUCACACAUAACCACUUGAUGUGGUUACAAGGUGAUUACUUUUUGGAGACCACCCACCACAACAAGCACUGCUUCACAGUCAACAGCGUCCGUUGGCAGAAAACAAAGAAAAUUCAACAACCACCCUGACAAAGAGGCCUAUUAAAGCAAA